rnacentral:rRNA from 1 species
CGGGGCUUAAAGUCUUGUAAUUGGAAUGAUGGGAAUUUAAACCUCUUCCAGAGUAUCAAUUGGAGGGCAAGUCUGGUGCCAGCAGCCGCGGUAAUUCCAGCUCCAAUAGCGUAUAUUAAAAUUGUUGCAGUUAAAAAGCUCGUAGUUGAAUUUCUGCUGCAUUGCUUGUGUCCCUCUGGGGUCUGUGCAUGUGGCUUUUUUCGGACGGAGUUUCUUUGUCUGAAUGUUUACUUUGAGAAAAUUAGAGUGCUCAAAGCAGGCUUUCGCCUUGAAUAGUUUAGCAUGGAAUAAUAAAGUAGGACUUUGGUUCUAUUUUGUUGGUUUUAGGUACCAAAGUAGUGGUUAAUAGGAACAGUUGGGGGCAUUCGUAUUUAACUGUCAGAGGUGAAAUUCUUAGAUUUGUUAAAGACGAACUACUGCGAAAGCAUUUGCCAAGGAUGUUUUCAUUAAUCAAGAAC